rnacentral:rRNA from 1 species
GUGUCAGCCGCCGCGGUAAUACGGAGGAUGCAAGCGUUAUCCGGAAUGAUUGGGCGUAAAGCGUCCGCAGGUGGUGAUGAAAGUCUGCUGUCAAAGAAUCAGGCUUAACCUGAUCAAGGCAGUGGAAACUACAUGACUAGAGUGCGUUCGGGGCAGAAGGAAUUCCUGGUGUAGCGGUGAAAUGCGUAGAUAUCAGGAAGAACACCGGUGGCGGAAGCGUUCUGCUAGGCCGUAACUGACACUGAGGGACGAAAGCUAGGGGAGCGAAUGGGAUUAGAUACCCCCGUAGUCC